GGCGCGGCGCUGGUCUCCGGACUGGAGCCGGCGGUGCGGCAGCGGCGGGGAUUAAAUAGGGCUCGAGGAAGAGACCAUUCGUGCCUCGGCGGCGGGGGGGGGGCGGGGGGGCCGCGCCGAUGCCGCCCCCUCGGCCCCGCUGUAAACAUGCCCGCUCCGGCCGCCGCUCCCCCCCCGCAGCCGCGGCGCGGUGGUGCGCUCCGCAUGCGCGGCUCCCCGCGGGACGCAGGUGGGCGAGCGGCGGCGGGCGGGUCCCGGUGGGUCGCCGCCGUGUCCCCCCGUGGGUUCCCCCCGAGUGUGUCCCCGUCCCGCACCGAGCGGAGUCGCGAUUUAUCAGAGUGUCUCCCCCACUCCCGGGCUGAGGGGUCCCGCCCGAGGGGGUGCCGGUGCCGGUGCCGGUGCCGGUCCCGCCACGCAGCCCCGUGCCUCGAAGCCUCUCCUGGCCCCGGCAGGGCUCGUCCUCCCAGAGCCGCGGCCCCGGGGCUCGACGGGCCCGGGGAGCACUCAGGUGGGUCCGGGAUGUGGUCUGGGAAGCAGGUGAUCAAUAUGGAAAGGGGGAGUGUCAGGAGGAUGGAGCCAGGCUCUUCUGGGUGGCAACCAGGGACAGGACAAGGGGCAAUGGGUGCAAACUGCAACACAGGAGGUUCCGCUGGAAGAUGAGAAGCAACUUGUUGGGGUGAGGGUGGCAGAGCCUGGCCCAGGCUGCCCAGGGGGGUUGUGGAGUCUCCUUCUGUGCAGACAUUCCAACCCGCCUGGACACCUUCCUGUGUAACCUCAUCUGGGUGUUCCUGCUCCAUGGGGGGAUUGCACUGGAUGAGCUUUCCAGGGCCCUCCAACCCCCGACAUUCUGGGGUUCUGUGUUGACCAUGGACGAGCAGCCAUUGCGCGGCUCGGUGCAUGCGGGACAGUGUCCUCAGUGCUCCGUGGAGUCACGGUGCAGCUGAAAUGCUGGGGUAUGACCUGUGCUCACCAGCGUGGCUCAGCCUGUCUCUGCUCCUCACAGCUGAGAACUUCCCCGCUGUCUCUGCGGCAGCACUCGGGCUCACAACCCGGCUGUGCUCACACUUGCAGCCAAAUCACGUUUGGGAUGAAGUCGGCAUUGGCUCCAGGUUUUAGCUGCCGGUCCGUAAAAGUCAAUGUCCAGCCUUUGCUACCCCAUGGCAUCUCCCAGGUCUGAAACAAAUGUGUGCCUUCAUUUCACACAUCAGGGUGAACUCCUCCUCACGUGCUUUGAUGCUGAGCUUCUCUGCACCCUGAUGUUCUCCCGCACAAAUGUUGUGCAAGAGGGACGUCUCCAUUAGUCAUCGUCUCUGUGGGAAGGGCUGUGGGAGGAACAGCUUUCUGGUGGUCACAUCAGAUCGCUGCUCUGCUUCAGUUUUCAUCCCUUUGUCGUGGCCCUAGAGGCGAUGCUGCUUAUGUUACGGCUUUGUUAAGCCAAGCUUAGGGGAGCCGCGGCGGGCCCCAGCCGUGCAGAGCCACAGCCCGUGGCGCACGUUUGGGGACAGCGUGGGCCAAAUGAGGCCACGGGAGGCUCCCUGAGCUGGAGAAGGGGCUGCUUUUGGAAAAGAGCUCUGGCGAGCCGGGGGAUGCGAGAGCAGCUCAGGCGAGGUUCCCCCCAGGAGCAGAGUGAAUACAGACGUGGCAGGAGCGUGGGAUGGGGCGGGGAAGCUGGGGGUCCCGUGGGACGGCUGCUGGAAGGGGACGGUGCUGGGUCGGGCUCUGGGGGGGUGUGGGUGGCUCCUGGCGUGGCGCUCAGCCCUCGGGGGGGUAUUUUCCUCCGGAGAGGAUGGCCUCGGGUGACACUGGGUCUCUUUGGGCCUUUCACGAUCCCCAGCUUCAAUGGCUUUGCUUGAGGAGGAUGUGGGGAGCACUGGGGCUGUGCCGGUUCCCUCGCCGGAGGACGCGCCGCCCGCCACCGCACUGACGGGGCUUCUGUCCCCUCCCGGAGCGCCUUGUCACCUCCCCGAGCCCCCCACCUCCCCAACCCAUCCUCCCCGCUGAAGCCUGGAGGCUUCAUAGCUCCAGGCGGUGCUUUUAACCCUUUCUCUGCCUCCUGGUGCGUUGCAGAGAGCCCGUCUGCCUUCUUCCCUCUUUUCUCUCUCUGGGAUGGGCUGUGGGACCAGGUGCCGUUUCCUGGGACUGGCUGCUCAGCGUGUUCGUGAGAAUUGCCUUGACUAUCUUUUAUUUCGAUUUAUAUAUAUAUUUACUAGCAGUGUAUUAGUAUUUUGUUAUUUUAUUAAACCGUGUUCAUCUCAAUCCCAGUUUCUCCCUUCCCUUUGGAUUCUCUCCCCUAUUGGAGUGAGUGAGCGGCUGCGUGGUCGCAUUGCCAGCUCAGGUUAAACCACGACACCACACCUCCGGAGAAGAUUUUCCCCUCUGAGUAUCUGAAUUUGGCCUUUUCUGGCGUCUUGCUGCCCAUCUCCUGACUUUUAGGCUCAGCCCACAAGCCUUUCCCAGCCGUCCCUCCAGUGGAUGCUGUCUCUGGAAGCAGAGUUGUUGGAGGAUGGAGCGAGAAUGAAGCUUUCUAAAUCAUCAGAUGGGCUCGGUGACACGUUUCCCUUUAACUGAUGAUAUUUCCUAGCCUGUGUUUGCUGUUGCUACAGCCUUGGGUAUCUCUCUAGAGGCAAAGGCUUAGAAAUCCCCGGGGAAGGUGUGGAAGAUGGAAGGAGAAGAGUCAUUUAGCAUCUCUGCCAUAUCCUCAUGUCCCACAAUUGCUUCCUUUAACCUCUGACAGUCUGACGACCCCACGUCUUCCUGACGGCUUCUUGACACGCUCAGCCCCGUUGUUUGUUUUUACGCUGUUCAAAACCCCUUUAGGCUUUGCUUAAUUAGCCUCACACUGGGUUUUAGCAUUUGCCUCCAUUUAGCGUCGCUCAGUGCUGUUUGGUGCCGGUUUCCCCAUGCAAUGCUGAACUGAACAGCGCUGGGCUGCUGUUGUGCAGCAUCUUGUUGCUUUGUGAACUCGCUCCUGUGCGCCACUUAAAACCGAGUCCAGAAUGGCCUCCCCGCUUCUUCCCGCUCUUCGUGCUCCGAGGGAGCGAUUGCACCGAGCAGCGUGCGGCGCGAACGAAUUCGCAAUGUAUUGAAAAGGGGGGGGGGGAUUGAAGAGAAGCUGCCAAAUUAAUGUAUGAUGUGAUUCUGUUAUAAAAGGCGCACCCAUCGUUAACCAGUUGACAUGAGAUCGGUGCAUUCUCACCACCUGCAAAACGAGGGGAUGUUUUUCAAGGUCCUUCUGCAUGAGAAGAGGGAGAUGGAAGGUGAAGUAACAUGGUGUUUAGAAGCAAAGUGCUUAAUUAACUAAUAAUUAAUAGGCUGAGCGUAGCGUUAGCUGUUGAGGAACAAACGAUGGAUGGUGCCGUUGGUGACCAGAGAAGACCUGGAGGUCACUGGAGUAUCUGAUAACCUUUAUCUGCUUUAACUAUUGAAUUUCUAAGAGCAUUAAGGGCUCAAUUUCCAGAAGUUUAUUCUGGAGGGUUUUAUUUUUGCAAAGGGACGGAAUUCGCCCCAAUUAAGGAUGUAUUGAAUAGAAAUGCACACAUUUAAAUAGCUACCAACAAAACAAUGCAAAAUGCCACUCCAAAAGAAAGUAAAUGCUAACCCAUGAAGCAACCGGUGAAAGACCUUGCAAGGGGAGAAUAACCUUUGAUUUAUUCCAGAGUAACACACAGAACCUGGAUCAAUAUAUCACCAUCAAAGAUAUGCCUUUCUUCUCCUUAAUACCAACUGCAAUGCACUCAAAUUCAACAUCCUCGUAACGGGAAAGAGCCAGAAGGGUUGACUGCAGCAGCAGGAGCUUGAAAAGGUCUUUAGGUGACAUAAAAAGGGGGAGGCGAGUUAAAAGGAAAUUAAAGGGAGUUGCUUAAUGAGUGAUAAAAUCCUUGGCUCUGGAUAUUGGAAGGUCUGGAGUCAAUAGUUCUCUGUGGGCACCGAUCUGCGUGGUGUUGGGGGGUGAGCGGUGGGUCGGGGGCACAUCUAGAGCAUCAAUAAUAAUAUAGAAUAAUUUAAUUAGAUGCUUUAAUGAAUGCUGUAUGUUGGGCAAGAGUUUUAGGUGGCUCUUAGAGUCAAAUUGAUGUUUGAGCUUUGAAGUUAUCGAGCUGGUGGGCCAGGGUGAUGUGCGAUUAAUACCCCUGUACAUGGGGGUUUAUGUGUUUUGAGUGAGUUGACCUACAAGAAAACUACCUAUUUAAGGGAUGGAGAGGCAGACCUAUAGAUUAAUGCCUGUUUUCUGGAGUACUGAGCCCGUGAUCACAGUGGCAGCGUCCAGAGCUCCACAAGGAUGCGGAGAAGAUUGUGAAUGGUGAGCUGGCAAAUUGGUAGGGAAAAAAGAGUGAUUCAGGAGAGCCAAAUCUAAGGCUGAAUGCAAUGAAGAGGGUCCCAUGAUGCUCGCGCGUGAAAUGGCAGAUUGCGUUCAAUUCAAAUACAUGCAGAGCUGAAUUGAGACGUGUGUGUGUGUAUGGAGUAUCUGUUGCAGCUGGUGGUGGAGAUGGCUGGAGGAGGCACAGAAAUUCUAGCGAGGAGGUCCCCGAAGCUCUGUCUCCUUGAUAUUGGUGACUUCUCCACUCUUCUAGGUCUAUAAAUGACCAAGUGCCCCAUCCUGGUGACGCUGGUGGCCUCUCUCCCCUCUCGUCUCUCCUGUCUCAUUCCUCCUCUCUCUUCCUUUCAGCUCGCAUUCUGCCAGAAUUCUGCUUUGGCCACAGAUAACGCGUGUGAAAUUCAAACGUAAAGAUUAUUUUUUGAGAAAUAUAGGCUGUGAAAUUGGGCUUAUAAAUGAGCGCAAGCUACACCCUUAACUGUGGAGUCCUUAGGCUGGCUUAGGAGGCUGCUAAUCCCCGCAUGCGGUGGAGGUGAAUGGCCUGAGGAGGUUGGACUGUUCCUGCUACAGCUGAGUUUUGCGCAUCCAUGUGUCAAAUCUCCCCCUUCCCAUCCAGUGCAACCCCCCCCGGAGCAGGAACACCCAGAUGAGGUUACACAGGAAGGUGUCCAGGCGGGUUGGAAUGUCUGCACAGAAGGAGACUCCACAACCCCCUGGGCAGCCUGGGCCAGGCUCUGCCACCCUCACCCCAACAAGUUGCUUCUCAUCUUCCAGCGGAACCUCCUGUGUUGCACUUUGCACCCAUUGCCCCUUGUCCUGUCCCUGGUUGUCACCAGAAGAGCCUGGCUCCAUCCCCCUGACACUGCCCCUUUCCAUCUUGAUCCCCAGCAAUGAGUCCCCCCUCAGGCUCCUCUUGUCCAGCUCCAGAGCCCCAGCUCCCUCAGCCUUUCCUCACACGGGAGAUGCUCCACUCCCUCCAGCAUCUUGGUGGCUGCGCUGGACUCUCUGCAGCAGUUCCCUGUCCUGCUGGAGCUGAGGGGCCACAGCUGGACACAAGAUUCCAGGUGUGGUCUCCCCAGGGCAGAGCAGAGGGGCAGGAGAACCUCUCUGACCUACUGACCACCCCAUUCGAACACUUGCUACUUGGGAGCAGAGCCCGACCCCCCUGGCUCCAAGCUCCUUUCAGGCAGUUCAGAGAUCAGAAGGUCUCCCCUCAGCUCCUGUUCUCCAGCUGAACCCCCCAGGUCCCUCAGCCGCUCCAUCACACUUGUGCUCCAGCCCCUCACCAGCUUUGUACAACUUGCAUUUUCAAUAGGAAGCGUGAUGCAGAAACGCUCUGGGAUAACACGCUCCCUGUGUGGGAGGGAGGUGUUGGAUUGCCUGAGCAGCCUUUGUUUCGGAACUAACGUAAGGAGAUUUUGAGUGCUGCUUAAGUGCUUUGCUGACUGGUUGGUCUGGACAGAAGUGCCUGUGCGAGCUCUCAGGAGAUGCUCGGGAUGCGGUGCCGAGCUGGAGCGUGUAGCCCUGCGAACGACUCCGAUGACGAUGAGAAGACAGGGUUUCCAUCCGCACAUUAAUCCUUUCUGUGCACGUGUGCUAACCCAGCACUGGAGCUCCUGUGAUGGACCUUUCUACUCAAGACCAGUCAUCCCCGGGAUAAUCCAGGUGGGCAGGGACCUUGGGCUGUCAUCUGGUCCAUGGCCCCGUGUGUCGGGGUUUGUUCAUCAACACUUGUUCUUCUCCUCAAUACCCAUCUUGGAGCUCCUGCCUGGAGGAUGCCGGUAACUGCUCAUCCUUCCCAAACCAUCCUCCCCGCACUGUCCAGAAUCUCGCCAUUGCUGCUGAACACACCAAGGACAAAGGCAGAGUUAUGAAUCCGCUCUAGCACAGAGAUAAGAGUCAGUAUAAUUAGAAACUCUUUAUGUGGAGAAAUGAAUCAAAGCUGCUUCUACUCCUGGGACAUUUUAACUCUUCGCAGCUUCUGUUAUUAAUUGUAGAACCAUUUCUUUUUCUCAGUUUCAGGCUGCAAUAAGGAAGAAACCCACAGUGAGCAGACCCCAUGGACAAAUGAGUGACUAUGGAGCACGGCGCACAUCCAGAGCCGUCUCUGAGCACUGGAAAGCAACCGUGGGACUGCAAACCCAAUACAUAAUUUGACUUUCUGGGUGGGCAGCAUUUUCAGUCCUGAUAAGCAUCUAUAACACUUCUCUCCCAAACUGGGAGAACUGGAUUUUAUUCCUUUCCCAAUAACAUUCCUAUUGUCUGUCACAGAAAGCCGGGGGGGUUGCAUUGACCAGGCAGCGUAGUCUCAGGUCUUGUUUGGGCUUCGGUUGGUUUUAGCUGCAUUUAACGGUCACCUGUUGGUCAGUGACUACUGCGUGACUUGUGGCUGGGGCUCUGUGAACACGUGCUAAAGGGCCGGUGAACCCACCACAAACAACAGCUCUUUAUGUUGAGUGAGGCUGGAGGAGGCUACUGGGCAACAUCCAAACUCACCUGGGAACCGGUGGGAACUCAUUGUUAGCGAAACACAUGGCAACAAAGCCAAAAGUGCGCAAGACGAGGUAGAAAUCCCCACCGCGUGCGGCGGACUCUUCAUGGGGACUUCAGGGUGCCGAGGACUCGUUGUAGCCCUGCGCUGCAUGAGGAAGACCUGACCUUUCUCCACUGGGGAGAAUUGUGCCUGACCAAUUUGAUUGCUGUAUGUGAAGAGAGAAGAGAUGAGAGCAAUGUGUGUUGCACACCUGGGCUUUGGGCAGGUGUUUGAUGUCCCACGGUACAGACGACUCCAGUGGAAAACGGGCUGUGCCACCCACUCGCAGGGUUGCAAUCAGCAGCUGGAAGUCCAGCUGGUGGCCACUGGUGGGUUCUUUGUGGGACCCUGCGUCCCUCUGCCCUAGCAUACCUUGUGUCCCCAUUUUGGGCUCCCCUGUUUGGGAGACAGAUCAACAUACUGGAGCAAGGGCCAUGGAGAUGCUCAGGGGUUUAAGCGUACAGCAAAUGAGGCUGUGAAAAUGUAGCAGGACAUCAUAGAAUCAUUUUGGUUGGAAGAGACCCUCAGGAUCACCGAGUCCAACCAUAACCCAACCAACUCCAGCACAAACCCGUGUCCCUAAGAACCUCAUCUAAACGCCUUUUCAACCCCUCCAGGGAUGGUGACUCCAGCACUGCCCUGGGCAGCCUGUUCCAACGCCCACAGCCCUUUGGGGAGAAAUUACCCCAAAUUUCCAACCUCAGCCUCCCCUGGUGCAACUUGAGGCUGUUUUCUCUCAUUCCAUCACUUGGUACUUGGGAGAAGAGACCAACACCCUCCAUGCUCCAACCUCUUUUCAGGUAGUUAUAUACAGGGAUAAGGUCUCCCCUCAACCUCGUGUUCUCUGGGCUGAACAGCCCCACAUCCCUCUUGCUUUUGCAAGCUAAGAUAUUUGAUAAGAGCCUUACCCUGCUACGAGCAGCUCAAGAGGGUUAAAACAAGAACUGAGACCCUAGAAAACACCAGAAACAAGAUAACUUCAUCUUUGCCUGUGGCAAACAAACUGUACUAUUCAUGCUCUAAUUUCCCGGGCAACUCGGUUUUCUGCUGAACCCAGAGCACCCGCACGAGCGAAGGGGUUGAGCUGGGCAGGACCAGCGAAGCUUAGCAAAGCUCAGUCCUGCUGGGUGUCCAAGGGACAAUAUAUCUCCUCGUGCCAUUGGACACUGUGAGAAUUCUUAGCCACCUUGGUAUUUCCAAGACUUACUUCUCUGGGUGAUGAUCGCAGCAGAUAAGUGCAAGAGGAAGAGAAAGAUUCCCUAUUCAGAGCAGAGUUUGCUGUGUAGUAAACAAGCCCCGAGGCGGUACGAAGAAUGAUGAAGAUACAAACCGCGCCGAGCAGCGCGGAAACACAGCACGAAGCAAUGUAAUGUGUAACUGUCCAGAAAAGACUGGUUAAUCUGGCUGGAAAUAAAGAUGUGGAGCACGGAAAGAGUGGAAUAGGUGAGCGCUGAGCUCAUGAAGGAGCCGGCGCAGUGGGAUGGAUGGACCGAGGAUGCUCGGAGCAAACCGGCUGCAAAGUUCUGGCCCAGGAUGGGGACCUGGGGGCUGUGGGGUCAGGGAGAUGGACCCACUCAGGACACUGCAGCUCCUGAGCACAUCGUUGGCGGGAGGGAGCGUGGAAACGCUGCAAAUGGAGCGAGCGGGCAGGAGCGGUUCCUCCGAUCAAGGAGUUUAGACGUGUUGUCAGAGGCAUCUGUUGUACCCAGGAAUGCAGCAGCGGUUUUGGGUGUGAAGUCUGGGGUGGGUGGUCAUCGCUUUCACGCUGUAUUCAAACCUCGAGAAACAUGGGAACAGAGCAACGUAUGAGCCCGGUCUGGCCGCUGUGACAGGGGUUAUAUCCAUCGGGGAACCAUGUGAGAGCACUGAUGGAAAAUGCAAACCACCCUUGAUGCUUCCGUGUCGUGUCAGUUGUAUAAAGAUGCUUCAAGUUCAUGCCAACCCACCGUGUGAGUUGCUCUCCAUGUGUGCUCUACCCUACCCAUCACUGUUGCCCUUCUGCAUCAGGGAUGAACACAGGAGAGCAUCAGAAUAGACCCACCAAGUUUCCUUAGUCACUUGGUAAGGCCUUCUAGCACACCUGUACUGAUUGACAUUAAUUAGCUGUUAAUCUUUCCCAGUUCUUCUGCAUACAACCUCAGGCACGGGGCCAACACUUCAGGCGAUGCCGAGGGUUUGUACCGGCAGCAGAUGCCGACGUCCGGGCGCAGGUUGUUGUUUGGAUCAGCUAAAUGACGCGGUGACCCAGGCCUGCUUCCUGCUGCACUGCCCAUUUAGCCCUGAAAUUGCAAUAACGAGAUUACUUGAUAUAAAGCAAACCUCCAGCAGCUUUCCUGCCCUGGCUCCGCUCCUCCUGUUCUGCACGGAGGGUUUUCUCCCAGGAGGAGCCAGCAGUGGAUUUGUUGCUAGAGAUUGCGCUCGCUCCGGCUUUGCCUGUAUCCUUCAAAGAGCAUCACUGCGAGGAAGGGAGAGCUGUUAGUUUAAUCAGACUGUUUAUCCCUUCAAAGUGAGCAGUUCGCUUGGAAUAAGUAAGGGAGCUCAGUGGGCUCAGCUGACAGCAGCUUAUCCCACCAAUUUGUGCUUCUGGAGGCGGCUUCUCCCUUCUCCUGAAGAUGCAGAAGUGAGAGAUGCACUUGGCCCGGACACGCAGAGCAGGGGCACAGCGGUUGUUGGUGCAAAAAACGCAGUUAUAGAGGAGCCCGGAGCUGUGAAAUUUUUUUAUAGUGAUGAGAAUCCGUGGGAUUCAGGUUUUGUGGAUGGGAACCUGGGGAUUCGCAGUGCUGGGACGAGUUGUGGUGGGCAAACGGGCUGGUGCCUCUGGUCUGGAAGUUGUGGAGAAGGGCUGGUGGCUCCAUCAUGCAGAAGGACAGAUUACAUUCAAAUUUAGAAUCAUAGAAUCAUUUUGGUUGGAAGAGACUCUCAGGAUCAUCGAGUUCAACCAUAACCUUGCUCCAGCAGUAACCCAUGUCCCUAAGAACCUCGUCUAAAUGCCUUUUAAACCCCUCCAGGGAUGGUGGGUUUUUACUCUCCCAACAAGAGAUUGUCUGUUCCUGCUUGGGGAACACAGUGCGAGUGGCAUGCGAGGGCAUUGAUAAGGAUGGAUGCACAUCCACGAGAGGGGAAAUGAGAAACAAGUGACCAAAACCUGACCAACUGAGUGUAACAUCCCAUUCACGUGACACUUCAUGUAAAACUGGGAGAUCACGAGGAUCUCACCGCAUUUCCUUGUGGCAACACUAGGAGAGGACCUUGCGAGUCGUCCCUGUGAACUGAGGCCAGUGACGGACUGAAUCCAGCUCCGGUUGGCUGUAGAGUCCAGUCCAGGACUUCGGCUGCUGGCUUGUGAACUGAGGCCAGUGACAGGCUGAAUCCAGCUCCGGUUGGCUGUAGAGUCCAGUCCAGGACUUCAGCUUCCGGCUUGUGAACUGAGGCCAGUGACGGACUGAAUCCAGCUCCGGUUGGCUGCAGGAUCCAGUCCAGGACUUCAGCUGCCGGCUCUGCAGUUGCCGGGACUUUCAACAUUGGUUUUGUAUAUUCUGUAUUAUUUUCUCUAUUUUAUUGUAGCAUUAGUAAAACACUUUAAACUUUU